rnacentral:rRNA from 1 species
UACGUAGGGGGCAAGCGUUGUCCGGAAUCAUUGGGCGUAAAGAGCGUGUAGGCGGCUCGGUAAGUCCGCUGUGAAAGUCCAGGGCUCAACCCUGGAAUGCCGGUGGAAACUGUCGAGCUAGAGUCCGGAAGAGGAGAGUGGAAUUCCUGGUGUAGCGGUGAAAUGCGCAGAUAUCAGGAAGAACACCAAUGGCGAAGGCAGCUCUCUGGGACGGUACUGACGCUGAGGAGCGAAAGCGUGGGGAGCAAACAGG